rnacentral:rRNA from 1 species
AACUUUUGAUGGUAGGAUAGAGGCCUACCAUGGUUUUAACGGGUAACGGGGAAUUAGGGUUCGAUUCCGGAGAGGGAGCCUGAGAAACGGCUACCACAUCCAAGGAAGGCAGCAGGCGCGCAAAUUACCCAAUCCCAACACGGGGAGGUAGUGACAAUAAAUAACAAUAUGGGGCCUUUACGGGUCUCGUAAUUGGAAUGAGUACAAUUUAAAUCUCUUAACGAGGAACAAUUGGAGGGCAAGUCUGGUGCCAGCAGCCGCGGUAAUUCCAGCUCCAAUAGCGUAUAUUAAAGUUGUUGCAGUUAAAAAGCUCGUAGUUGAAUUUCGGGAUCUAUCCGUCGGUCGGGCCUCACGGUCCGCACUGGUGUGAUGGAUUCCUACCUUCUGAAUAACCGGUAUGCCAUUAAUUUGAUGUGCCGGGGAAGCAGAACCAUUACCUUGAAAAAAUUAGAGUGCUCAAAGCAGGCCUAUGCCUGAAUACAUUAGCAUGGAAUAAUAAAAUAGGACGGCAUGGUUCUAUUUUGUUGGUUUCUAGGAUCACCGUAAUGAUUAAUAGGGAUAGUUGGGGGCAUUAGUAUUCAAUUGUCAGAGGUGAAAUUCUUGGAUUUAUUGAAGACUAACUUCUGCGAAAGCAUUUGCCAAGGAUGUUUUCAUUAAUCAAGAACGAAAGUUAGGGGAUCGAAGACGAUCAGAUACCGUCGUAGUCUUAACCAUAAACUAUGCCGACUAGGGAUCGGACGAUGUUAAUUUUAUAAUGACUCGUUCGGCGCCUUACGGGAAACCAAAGUUUUUGGGU